rnacentral:misc_RNA from 1 species
GAAAUGCGAUAAGUAAUGUGAAUUGCAGAAUUCAGUGAAUCAUCGAAUCUUUGAACGCACCUUGCGCUCCUUGGUAUUCCUUGGAGCAUGCCUGUUUGAGUAUCAUGAAAUCUUCAAAGUAAAUCUUUUGUUAACUCAAUUGGUUUCUACUUUGGUAUUGGAGGUCUUUGCAGCUUCACACCUGCUCCUCUUUGUUCAUUAGCUGGAUCUCAGUGUUAUGCUUGGUUCCACUCGGCGUGAUAAGUUAUCUAUCGCUGAGGACACUGUAAAAGGUGGCCAAGGUAAAUGCAGAUGAACCGCUUCUAAUAGUCCAUUGACUUGGACAAUACUUUUAUGAUCCGAUCUCAAGUCAGGUAGGACUACCCGCUGAACUUAAGC